UGGGGAAUCUUGGACAAUGGGCGCAAGCCUGAUCCAGCCAUGCCGCGUGAGUGAUGAAGGCCCUAGGGUUGUAAAACUCUUUCGUGGGGACGAUAAUGACGGUACCCCAAGAAGAAGCUCCGGCUAACUUCGUGCCAGCAGCCGCGGUAAUACGAAGGGGGCUAGCGUUGUUCGGAUUUACUGGGCGUAAAGCGCGUGUAGGCGGGCUGGAAAGUUGGGGGUGAAAUCCCGAGGCUCAACCUCGGAACUGCCUCCAAAACUUCCAGCCUGGACUCAAGUAGAGGCAAGUGGAAUUGCGAGUGUAGAGGUGAAAUUCGUAGAUAUUCGCAGGAACACCAGUGGCGAAGGCGACUUGCUGGACUUGUAGUGACGCUGAGACGCGAAAGCGUGGGGAGCAAACAGGAUUAGAUACCCCCGUAGUCCCUGAGCGGGCUGGCAAGGCGCAU
rnacentral:rRNA from 1 species